GACGGGGGCCCGCACAAGCGGUGGAGCAUGUGGUUCAAUUCGACGCAACGCGAAGAACCUUACCCCAGGCCUGAACAGCGAGUCACAUCCGGCGAAAGCCGGCUCCCGCAAGGGGACUCGUAGAGGUGCUGCAUGGCUGUCGUCAGCUCGUGUCGUGAGAUGUUGGGUUAAGUCCCGCAACGAGCGCAACCCUUGUCCUCUGUUGCCAUCAGGUUAUGCUGGGCACUCUGAGGGAGACUGCCGGUGAUAAACCGGAGGAAGGUGGGGAUGACGUCAAAGUCAGCAUGGCCUUUAUGUCUGGGGCUACACACGUGCUACAAUGGCCGGUACAAACCGUCGCGAUACCGUAGGUAAGCUA
rnacentral:rRNA from 1 species